CGCCCGGCAGCGGCGGCGGCGGCAGCGGCGGCCACAGCAGCCUUGGCGGCGGCCGCGGCAGGACUGGCAGCGCCAGCGGCGGGUGAGGGGCUUGCGGCUCGCGGCUUGUGGCGGUGGCGGCGCACGGGCUGCCUCGAGGAAGAAAGAAGCCUGAGACAUCAGCCUAUGAAGACUGAAGACCAUCCUGAAUAGCAAUUAUGAAUGGUGUUGCUGCUAGGCUUGUUCUGCAGAGCAUCUGAAAUGAACCUCUCUUAUUGAUUGUUUUUAUUGGCCCAGAGCCAGGAGUACUGGAUUCAGUUGACUUCACGAUUAAAAGAAAACAGUUUUGGUUACCAUCAUAAACAUAUGAACCAUUGUGAUGGUGAAAUGAGAUGAGGCUCCGAAAUGGAACUGUAGCUACUGUUUUAGCAUUUAUCACUUCGUUCCUUACUUUAUCUUGGUAUACCACGUGGCAAAAUGGGAAAGAAAAACUGAUUGCUUAUCAACGAGAGUUUCUUGCCUUGAAAGAACGUCUUCGUAUAGCUGAACAUAGAAUCUCGCAGCGCUCUUCUGAAUUAAAUGCCAUUGUACAGCAGUUCAAGCGUGUAGGAGCAGAAACAAAUGGAAGUAAGGAUGCAUUAAAUAAGUUUUCAGAUAAUACCCUAAAGCUAUUAAAGGAGUUAACAAGCAAAAAAUCUCUUCAAGUGCCAAGCAUUUAUUAUCAUUUGCCUCAUUUAUUGCAAAAUGAAAGAAGCCUUCAGCCUGCUCUGCAGAUUGGUAAUGGAAGAACAGGAGUGUCAAUAGUAAUGGGAAUUCCCACAGUGAAGAGAGAAGUUAAAUCUUACCUCAUAGAAACUCUUCAUUCCCUUAUUGAUAAUCUGUAUCCUGAAGAGAAGUUGGACUGUGUUAUAGUAGUCUUCAUAGGAGAGACAGAUAGUGAUUAUGUACACAGUGUUGUAGCCAACCUGGAGAAAGAAUUUUCUAAAGAAAUCAGUUCUGGUUUGGUGGAAAUAAUAUCACCUCCUGAAAGCUAUUAUCCUGACCUGACAAACUUAAAGGAGACAUUUGGAGACUCUAAAGAAAGAGUAAGAUGGAGAACAAAGCAAAACCUGGAUUAUUGUUUUCUAAUGAUGUAUGCUCAGGAAAAGGGAAUAUAUUACAUUCAGCUUGAAGAUGAUAUUAUUGUCAAACAGAAUUACUUUAACACUAUAAAAAAUUUUGCACUUCAACUUUCUUCUGAGGAAUGGAUGAUACUAGAAUUCUCCCAGCUGGGCUUCAUUGGUAAAAUGUUUCAAGCACCAGACCUCACUCUGAUUGUGGAAUUCAUAUUUAUGUUCUAUAAGGAGAAACCCAUUGAUUGGCUCUUGGACCAUAUACUCUGGGUAAAAGUCUGCAACCCUGAGAAAGAUGCAAAACAUUGUGAUAGACAGAAAGCCAAUCUACGAAUUCGCUUCAGACCUUCCCUUUUCCAACAUGUUGGUCUGCAUUCUUCUCUAUCAGGAAAAAUUCAGAAACUCACGGAUAAAGAUUACAUGAAACCAUUACUUCUUAAGAUCCAUGUAAACCCACCUGCAGAGAUAUCUACUUCUUUGAAGGUGUACCAAGGACAUACACUGGAGAAAACUUACAUGGGGGAAGAUUUCUUCUGGGCUAUAACCCCAAUAGCCGGAGACUACAUCUUAUUCAAAUUUGAUAAGCCAGUCAAUGUAGAAAGUUAUUUGUUCCAUAGUGGCAACCAAGAACAUCCAGGAGAUAUUCUCCUAAACACAACUGUGGAAGUUUUGCCUCUUAAGAGUGAAGGUUUGGAAAUAAGCAAAGAAACCAAAGACAAACGAUUAGAAGAUGGUUAUUUCAGAAUAGGUAAUACCUCCUACUUUAAACUGGAAAAUUUGAGAAUGGCGUUGCUGAAGGAAUGGUGGAUCCCAGUCUAAACCCCAUUUCAGCCUUUCGACUUUCAGUCAUUCAGAAUUCUGCUGUUUGGGCCAUUCUUAACGAGAUUCAUAUUAAAAAAGUCACCAACUGAUCAUCCGCUAAGAAACCAGUUCAUUUUUUUCCUGUGAAUUUGUUAAUUAAAGAUAGUUAAGCAUGUAUCUUUUUUUUUUUUUUUUUUACUUGAACACUACCUCUUGUGAAAUCUACUGUAGAUAAGAUGAUUGUCAUUUCCACUUGGAAAGUGAACCUCCCAUGGGUAAUUGCAUUCAUUCGAACCUAAGCUGUCCUCCAAUUUUAACUUGACUCAAACAUUUUACAGUUACGACAGCCUGUUAAUAUGACUUGUACUAUUUUGGUAUUAUACUAAUACAUAAGAAUUGUACAUAUUGUUACAUUCCUUAAAUUUGAGAAAAAUUAAUGUUAAAUACAUUUUAUGAAGGGGGUACUUUUGAAGUUCAUUUAUUUUACUAUUAUAGACCCUCUUUUAUAGAUUAUCAGGGAUUAUAUAUAUAUAAAUAUAUAAAUAUACAUAAAAAUGUUAUGGAGUUAAUUUAUUAGAAACAUUUAAGAAGUACAUAUUUUUGUGCAGUAAAUUUUUGAAUCAAUACUUUUUUUGGAAAGUUACCUUGCUUUUUUAAGUUCUUUCUAUAUUUUUCUUUGGAAAUGCAAACAUUACAAAUUAAUGCCAUUUUUCAAAUGCACUGCCAUUUAAGAAUGAUUCUAGAUUGAUUUCCUAACUGAAGUACUUUUAUAAUCGCAGUGAUUCUGAACAAAAUAUUUUCAAAGGCAUUUGUCAUUCCUUAAAGCCAAGAUUUUAAAGACCAAUGUCCUUCUUGAGGGUUAUUUUACUAUACUGUUUAUGGUGUAAAAAAUCAGUCUGAUAAAUUUUAAUGUGCAGGGGUCAUGCAUUCAACCCAAAUUAUCAUGGACUGAACUCAUUACAUUCCCUCUGAUAUGUAAGAUGACAGAUCUUUUUUCUCUUUUAAUCUUUGUCUUUACUCCAUGAGUUAGAUGCAUUAUCUCUUGUUGGUCCUUUUGUAUCUGCACCCAUUUUAUGAGUUCUGACAAAAUGUUUUCUAGGUAAUGUUAUUGUAUGAGUCAAAAUCACUUAAUUUUAAAGAAAAAUAAAAUUGUAAUAUUGGUUUUUAGGGAGAGGUAUUGUAGCAGUUGUAUGUUUUUCCAAAGUGGUUUAUUCUGUUGCGUUAUAAACUUCUAAGUAAAUUUAUAUCUGAAGAGUAUUUAUUACUCUUAAACAUGUAAUUCCAAAUGUUAUUACUACUGUAAACAAAAAUACUAUCAGCCUUAGCAGUCAGUGAUCUUUACAAAAGUAUUUUAUUUUUAAAAAGUUAUGAAUUAUCAGCAUCAGUUCCCAACCAGUCUGGUGUGCCGCAGGCAGGGUGCCAGAUGGGUUACAGAUGUGCAGAGACUGAUCCCCCGAACUCGCAGACUAGCCAGUGGCUGAAGCCUCGGGUGGCUGGAGGUUCCACCUGGUUGCCUCUCGCCUAGAGCAGCUUCGUGUGGUUAGCGAGGAUCCUGCAGCAAGAGCUUCCAGACAGCCUUGUUGUCUGUACAGUGUGGCGGGUUAAAGUUGUUGGAAAACACUGAAAGGGUAGUUACUUCCAUUACUCACAUCUGAAUCGUCGUUAGUCACUUUUCUUGAUUAAAGAGGUACACUUUGCCAAUAAUCUUUAUGUCAAAGUCUAGUUAAAAAUCUUGAUUGGGUUUUUAAAAUUUACUCUUCGUUUUCUUUAAUUUACUUUUUAUUUCGUAUUUCCCUGGCCGGAUCCUUGCAGGCAGAUUUCAUUUUAAAAACUAACCUUUUGUUACAAAAUUUUGGCAGCUGCUUCACAUACUAAAUGACUGUUGUGACAACUAAGUGUCCGGGGGGAAAUUCUGGAGGUGGGUUGAGACGUCCUCGUGUUUCCCUGCUUCCACAGUAGCCCACUCUGAUUUUAGAGAGAAAGCCGUGCUCUGAAAAUCUAAGGAGGUGACAGUUAUCACAGCUUGUCACCAUUUGGUAGGGCGUCUGUCUUUAGACUGACGAGCCUUACUAGCCAGCAUUUCCCUGUUUCAUGCUCAGUCUCCUCUCCCAGGCUUAGCUCAUCGCCCCGCCGCCCCCAUUCCCAAGAAUAGUUUGAACCAAAUCUUACCCACUGUUCAGAAACUGUCUUGUGUGUUCCUCCCCAUGAAUUGUUUCCAGUGCCUAGUAGCGCCUGGGACAGUGCCUGGCACAUGGGAGGUGCCCAGUCCGGGUCACCCACACUCCUCUUUCUUUUUAACUCCCUUUACCCACGUUCCUUGCCACCCUCUUACACACUCGGCUGUCGAGUUUCUGAUUGUUCACAGGGCAUGUGUUUGUGUAUGUACGUGUGUGCGCACACAUUCUCCAACUGACCAGGCUUCAAGCUCCUGGGGACAAGUCUGUGACUCAUCCUUUGCGUCUGUCCUCUGAUGCAGCAGGUGCUCGGAUCGUCUCAUUGUUAGUCUCUCCCUUCCCCCACUUCCUCCCUAGAAGGUUAGAAACAGCCAUGCUUUCCUCAAGCAAGACAUCAUAGUGGUAGCCCUGAAGAGUAGUUGGGACAGAGCCUUCGAGGAGGUGAAGAGUACCUGAGACUGAGGGAAGGAGGUGCUUAGCCUUGAGAGGACAUGGAGCCACUUUUAUGAGAGCAGUGAGUGGGGAAUGCGUCCAGUGGUGGGACUAAUUAUUAACAUAGAGAGAGAAAUCAAACAUGGUUUGCAUCUGGUGUGUAAACAUAAACACAUCAACUGUUAAGACUCUAGAGCUGCGCUGUCCGGUAUACAGUAGUAUACAGGCACAUGGUAGCUAUUUAAAUUUAAAUUAAUAAAACCUCAGCUCCUCAGUCACACUAGCUACAGUUCAAUGCUUGUUAGACACAUGUGGCUAGUGGCCCCUGGAAUGGACAGCACAGAUCUAGAGCCUUCCCUCAUUGCAGAAAGUUCUGCUGGACAGCGCCAUGUCAGGAGUGCUAUUAUGAACGCUUCAGAAACCAGAGUAAACCGUGUCUGCUAAAAGCAGACGUGCAGAAUAUAUCACAGUGCAGAUGAUGGGUAUGGUAGGUGAGAAGGUCGAGGACUGUUCCUAGGAUUCUAAGAUCUAAGAUUUCGGAGUUCUCGAAGUCUCCCGCGUUCUGUACAGCACACACAGUGCUGCACUGUGUAGUCAAAAAACGGUGGUUUCAGGCAGUGGGAUUAAAAAGCUUUGGAAAAAGUGAAUGCAUAUGGAUUAUUUAGCAGCCAGUCUGUAGACACGUAUGUGUAUAUUCAACCACCGGAGAGGUCUUCAAAAAAGGUAUGGCUUCUCAGAUUAGUAGUUGUACCAGCAAGGGAUUAGAAGAUGUCAUUAUUUUUAAAAAGCUUCAGCAACAUUCUGAAGGCUUCUUUUAAAUCUGUCAUCGUAAUGAAAAGGUUGUCUCCUAACAGUACUGUCCUCAAAGACAAGUUUGGUUAUGUGGAAACAGCAUGUUGGGAGCGAUUGGUAAUAGCUGUGUGUAUUUGUAGUAGCCGGAAGUCUGCACGUGACCCUCAGGUACCUAUAGGAGAUUCUCCCCCUUUGUGUGUGGGUGGAACCCAUGAAUACCAUCCAUAACUAUGUUAUACAGCAAAAGGGAGAUUAUCUGGGGACAGCUUACCUAAUCAUGUGAGCCCCUUAAAAGCAGUGUUUUCUCAGGCUGGUAGCAGAAGUCAGGGAUUGACAGCAAUAGAACUCAAGGCACACGAGAAGAAAUGCAGAUGCCCGGAAGGAGCUGACAGAGGCCUCAGCCAACAGCCCAGGGAGUGGGUACUCCAGGUCUACAGCCACAGGAACUCAGUUAAUCAACAACCUGAAUGAGCCUGCAACUACAAUCCCCUCCAGCAGAGAACCCGGCCCACCACCACCUUGAUUCCAGCCUUGUGAGACCCACUGCCGAGAACGCCAAUCAAGCCCACCCUGACUUCUGGCCUGCAGACUGUGAGAUAAUAAAUAGGUAUGGUCUUCAGCUUCUGAUUUCGUGAUUUGUUACACAGUAGAAAAUGAAUAUAAUAUUGAAAAGAGGUGACAAGUCUUUAUACGUGAUUGCCUGGAGUUAAGUUGGAUAUUUCUCGAUAACCAUAGGGGUCCAGUCUUACACUAGCAAACUUUUACCUGGGCAUCCUUUGGAGUUUCCCUCCCAGAGAAUCUCAAGUAGUUCUGACUGGAAGUUUGUCGCCAAAAACAUCUUAGCAGUGUAUCUUAGCAGUGUUUUGUAAAGAAACUGCUAGAGUGGUAUUGUGCUCGUACUAGAACCAGGAUCCAGUGUAUAUAGAAUCUUUUUCCUGGAAGAGGUGUUAUUUUGUGCUGGUUUAGUCUGCUCUGAUCCUGUCAGUAUACUAUUUAAGAAUGAUGGACAGUGGUAUUUUAAAUAUUAGGAGAGAGAAAAAACUUCUGCCUUUAUGUAAGAGAUCAGAUAAUCUACUCCGUACUGAAGAACUUAAUUUUUUUUAAACCCACUUGUUUAUUGUCUGAGCACAGAUCAAAUUCUGUAGGUGUCAACCAAAUUUUUAUACUUUGCAAAUAUUGUCCAAAAUACCUCUCUGCUUCCAAGCCAUUAAUUGCUGGUGAAGCUUGUUUUUAUUUUGUACAUUAAUUUUUGUGCUUAUUUUUACUAUAUUGCCAUACCCUUAAUAGAAGAAAAGCAGAGCUAAAGGGAAGAAAAUGAGAUGCUGAGACUGUCAGAAGGUGAGAAAUUGGAGUCAUAAUCAUCUUAAGUGUUCUAAGGGAACUCAAAUAGCCCAGCUCUUUCUUUUAUAGAAAAAGAAACUUUUCCAAGCUAUGUAGCAUUACUUACAGUGUGUGAAAUUUAGUUUGAUAGCUGUACAAUUUUAAUAAUCUUGAUAUAUGCCAUGAUAACUAGUAUGCUUAGUUUACUUCUUUAAUGCAUGUGAACAUAACAAUGCUGAAAAGACUACUACCACAGUAUUAAAAAAAAAAAAAAAAGGAUGUUAUAUAUAUCCCUGUCAUCAGUACCUAUAUAUAAACUCUUCUUGCCUAAAACACUCCACCUUUUUGGGCACUAACUAGAUCAUUUUCAAGGAAACAAAAAGGAAAGAGCUGGCACUCCCGUGCGUGUGCGCGCGUGCGUGUUGAGAAUUUAAAAAACAUUGUUUAGGAAAAUAAGCUGGGAAUUGAAUGGAAAGCACUCGGUGCAAAGUAUCCUUCCCAGUGUUGUUCACAUGGCAGUAAAAAUGUUAAUAGUGGUGCUAAACUUGUUCUCCAAAUAAGCAUUGUUUGUUGUGGGGAAUUUUUAAUGGUAUCUUGGACAUUAGGAAGGCUACUUUAUAUAUCUCUUGCUCCUCGUUUUCUGAUUAGUAAUUAGCAAAUCCCCCUGGAGUAAAAGGUUUGGUAUUUUAGUUUGAUUAGCAUUCCAUUAUUUGAAAUGUUCAGUGUUUGCUGGAAAUUGGGUGAAAAUACCUUUUGAAGACACAUUCUUUGAGCCUUAAAAAUGGCUGAUACCGACAGUACUGUAAGAUGCACUGCCAGCAGAUUUGAUACUUUUCAUUUCAGUACAGUGAUGUUUUCUAAGAAAGAUUUAGAAAUCAGUUGAUUAAACAUAACAAUUAUGUUUCAUUUAUGGAAUGAAAAACUAAUGUGUUUCUGAGAACGCCGGUAAGGUUAUGGCUGUUUCUGGAAGCACCUGUUAGAGAAGGUGCCUGAGGAAUUGCUUUUCCAGGUUGUACCAGAUUUUUGUUUUCUCCUUUAAUGUACAUAUUUUCCUUAAAAUGUUUUCAUUAGGUGAAUGGGUAAUAUCUGUAGUAAUAUUUUAGGUACCUGUUAGAUUUUUCAAGGAAGAUUAUUUAUUUUCAAAUUUGCUGCUAUAAUUGAAAACCUAAUAACUGGUCCUGUUGACUGUGCCUUUCAUCACUGUUUCUCUGUGCCACGACCGUUCAUGUGUAUUUGAAAUAAAGAAGUUUAAGAAGAA